rnacentral:rRNA from 1 species
CGGCUAACUCCGUGCCAGCAGCCGCGGUAAUACGGAGGAUCCAAGCGUUAUCCGGAAUCAUUGGGUUUAAAGGGUCCGCAGGCGGCCUGUUAAGUCAGAGGUGAAAUCCUACAGCUCAACUGUAGAACUGCCUUUGAUACUGAUAGGCUUGAGUUAUUGUGAAGUGGUUAGAAUGUGUGGUGUAGCGGUGAAAUGCUUAGAUAUCACACAGAAUACCCAUUGCGAAGGCAGAUCACUAACAAUAUACUGACGCUCAUGGACGAAAGCGUGGGGAGCGAACAGGAUUAGAUACCCUGGUAGUCCACGCCGUAAACGAUGGAUACUAACUGUUCGACCUUCGGGUUGAGUGGUCAAGCGAAAGUGAUAAGUAUCCCACCUGGGGAGUACGCUCGCAAGAGUGAAACUCAAAUGAAUUGACG